rnacentral:rRNA from 1 species
AUUGAACGCUGGCGGCAGGCUUAACACAUGCAAGUCGAGCGGAAACGGAACUAGCUUGCUAGUAGACGUCGAGCGGCGGACGGGUGAGUAACGCGUAGGAAUGUACCCUAUAGUGGGGGAUAGCCCGGGGAAACCCGGAUUAAUACCGCAUACGUCUUCGGAUGAAAGGUGGCCUCUAUUUAUAAGCUAUUGCUAUAGGAUCAGCCUGCGUAAGAUUAGCUUGUUGGUGGGGUAAAGGCUCACCAAGGCAACGAUCUUUAGCUGGUUUGAGAGGAUGAUCAGCCACACUGGGACUGAGACACGGCCCAGACUCCUACGGGAGGCAGCAGUGGGGAAUAUUGGGCAAUGGGCGCAAGCCUGACCCAGCCAUGCCGCGUGUGUGAAGAAGGCUCUAGGGUUGUAAAGCACUUUAAGUUGUGAGGAAAAGUUGUUAGUUAAUACCUAACAGCCGUGACGUUAACAACAGAAUAAGCACCGGCUAACUCCG